GAGCAACGCCGCGUGAGGGAUGAAGGCCUCUGGGCUGUAAACCUCUUUUCUCAAGGAAGAAGAUCUGACGGUACUUGAGGAAUAAGCCACGGCUAAUUCCGUGCCAGCAGCCGCGGUAAUACGGGAGUGGCAAGCGUUAUCCGGAAUUAUUGGGCGUAAAGCGUCCGCAGGCGGCCUCGAAAGUCUGUCGUUAAAGCGUGGAGCUUAACUCCAUUUAAGCGGUGGAAACUACGAGGCUAGAGUGUGGUAGGGGCAGAGGGAAUUCCCGGUGUAGCGGUGAAAUGCGUAGAUAUCGGGAAGAACACCAGUGGCGAAGGCGCUCUGCUGGGCCAUAACUGACGCUCAUGGACGAAAGCCAGGGGAGCGAAAGGGAUUAGAUACCCCUGUAGUCCUGGCCGUAAACGAUGAACACUAGGUGUCGGGGGAAUCGACCCCCUCGGUGUCGUAGCUAACGCGUUAAGUGUUCCGCCUGGGGAGUACGCACGCAAGUGUGAAACUCAAAGGAAUUGACGGGGGCCCGCACAAGCGGUGGAGUAUGUGGUUUAAUUCGAUGCAACGCGAAGAACCUUACCAGGGCUUGACAUCCUGCGAAUCCCUUGGAAACUUGGGAGUGCCUUCGGGAGCGCAGAGACAGGUGGUGCAUGGCUGUCGUCAGCUCGUGUCGUGAGAUGUUGGGUUAAGUCCCGCAACGAGCGCAACCCACGUCUUUAGUUGCCAGCAUUAAGUUGGGCACUCUAGAGGGACCGCCGGUGAUAAACCGGAGGAAGGUGUGGAUGACGUCAAGUCAUCAUGCCCCUUACGUCCUGGGCUACACACGUACUACAAUGCUACGGACAAAGGGCAGCAAACUCGCGAGAGCUAGCAAAUCCCAUAAACCGUGGCUCAGUUCAGAUCGUAGGCUGCAACUCGCCUACGUGAAGGAGGAAUCGCUAGUAAUCGCAGGUCAGCAUACUGCGGUGAAUACGUUCCCGGGCCUUGUACACACCGCCCGUCACACCAUGGAAGUUGGCCACGCCCGAAGUCGUUACUCCAACCCGCAAGGGAGGAGGAUGCCGAAGGUGGGGCUGAUGACUGGGGUGAAGUCGUAACAAGGUAGCCGUACCGGAAGGUG
rnacentral:rRNA from 1 species